GAUGAACGCUGGCGGCGUGCCUAAUACAUGCAAGUCGAGCGAACAGACGAGGAGCUUGCUCCUCUGACGUUAUCGUCGGACGGGUGAGUAACACGUGGAUAACCUACCUAUAAGACUGGGAUAACUUCGGUAAACCGGAGCUCAUACCAGAUAAUAUAUUUAACCGCAUGGUUCAAUAGUGAAAGACGGUUUUGCUUUCACUUAUAGAUUGAUCCGCGCCGCAUUAGCUAGUUGGUAAGGUAACGGCUUACCAAGGCGACGAUGCGUAGCCGACCUGAGAGGGUGAUCGGCCAAACUGGAACUGAGACACGGUCAAGACUCCUACGGGAGGCAGAAGUAGGGAAUCUUCCGAAAUGGGCGAAAGCCUGACGGAGAAACGCCGCGUGAGUGAGGAAGGUCUUCGGAUCGUAAAACUCGGUUAUUAGGGAAGAACAAAUGUGUAAGUAACGAUGCACGGCUUGACGGUACCUAAUCAGAAAGCCACGGCUAACUACGUG
rnacentral:rRNA from 1 species